UUGCGGCCAUAUCACGUUGAAACAUUGGUUCUCGUACAAUCACCGAACUUAAACAACGGCGAGUUAGGUCAGCACUUUGAUGGGUGACCGCUUGGGAAUAGCAAGCGCUGUAAG